rnacentral:lncRNA from 10 species
GUGGUGUAUUAGUCCAUUUUCACACUGUUGAUAAAGACAUACCCGAGACUGAGUAAAUUAUAAAGAAAAAGAGGUUUAAUGGACUCACAGUUACACAUGGCUGGGGAGGCCUCACAAUCAUGUUGGAAGGCAAAAGGCACGUCUUACAUGGCAGCAGGCAAGAGACAGAAUGAAAACAAAGCAAAAGGGGUUUCCCCUUAUAGAGCCAUCAGAUCUUGUGAGAUUUAUUCACUACCACGAGAAUAGUAUGGGGGAAACCACCCCUAUGAUUCAAUUACCUCCCACCGGGUCCCUCCCACAAUACGUGGGAAUUACGGGAGCUACAAUUCAAGGUGAGAUUUGGGUGGAGACACGGCCAAACCAUAUCAGAUGGGAAAUGCUUUGGUGAAAGUAAACAAAGCUGUGUUCCUAGAGCACCACUGGUGACUUCAGAUAAAGAUGUUAUGUAUUUGAGGUGGGGGAAUUCACAAUUCACAAGGAAUAUGGCAGGGAAGAACAGAAGCCGAUUCCCAAUACAGAUGAAUCUUAAUUUCAGCAAGCCCAAAUAUGUCAUAAAUGACAAUUUCAGACUUAAAAAGAGACCUUAGAGAUCAUCUGCUCUGGAAAUUCCCAAAUGUGGCAGUAGGUCUGCUUUCAGACAUACUAAAGCCGAAUGUCAGGGUUGGAGAUGAUUCAGAUGCCCCUUAUCAGUCAUUCCAGAUAUCAUCAAAACCCCCCUUUCCAUUUUCUUCUGAAGAAACGGAGAAGUGAUUUGUUCAACAUCAUACAGCUAUCUGAUAGUAGCACAGAGAGAGCCAGGACUCAAAACCUAGAUUGACAGAAAUGAUACUAAUAUGCUGUAUGGAAUGAUUCACCAUAGAAGUCCUUUAAAUAGAAAAUUUCCUGCAGGGCGUGGCAACUCGCACCUGGAAUCCUAAACACUUUGGGAAGCUGAGGAGGGAGGAUUGCCUGAGCCCAGGAGUUCGAGACUAGCCUGAGCAACAUGGUGAAACCCCAUCUCUACAAAAACAAAAACAAAGCCGGGCGCGGUGGCUCACACCUGUAAUCCCAGCACUUUGGGAGGCUAAGGCAGGUGGAUCACCUGAGGUCAGCAGUUCAAGACCAGCCUGGCCAAUAUGGUGAAACCCUGUCUCUACUAAAAAUACAAAAAAUUAGCUGGGUGUGUGUAGGGACCAGCCCCACAGGGUCGGUGGGUCUCUCCCUGUGUGCGGUGAUGAGAGAGCAUAGAAAUAAAGACACAAGACAAGGAGAUAAAAGAAAAGGCAGCUGGGCCCGGGCGACCACUACCACCAAUGCGCAGAGACCGGUAGUGGCCCCGAAUGUCUGGCUGCGCUGUUAUUUAUUGGAUACAAGGCAGAAGGGGCAGGGUAAAGAAUGUGAGUCAUCUCCAAUGAUAGGUAAGGUCACGUGGGUCACGUGUCCACUGGACAGGGGGCCCUUCCCUGCCUGGCAGCUGAGGCAGAGAGAGAGAGAGAGGAGACAGAGAGAAAGACAGCUUACGCCAUUAUUUCUGCAUAUCAGAGACUUUUAGUACUUUCACUAAUUUACUACCGCUAUCUAGAAGGCAGAGCCAGGUGUACAGGAUGGAACAUGAAGGCGGACUAGGAGCGUGACCACUGAAGCACAGCAUCACAGGGAGAGGGUUAGGCCUCCGGAUAACCGCGGGCCAGCCUGACUAAUGUCAGGCCCUCCACAAGAGGUGGAGGAGCAGAGUCUUCUCUAAACUCCCCCGGGGAAAAGGAGACUCACUUUCCCGGUCUGCUAAGUAGCGGGUGUUGUUCCUUGACACUUUUCGCUACUGCUAGACCACCUCCCAGGUUCAAGUAAUUCUCCUGCCUCAGCCUCCUGAGUAACUGCAAUUACAGUCGCAUGCCACCACGCCUGGCUAAUUUUUUAUAUUUUCGGUAGAGAUGGGGUUUCACCAUGUUGGCCAGGCUGGUCUCAAACUCCUGACUUCAAGUGAUCUGCCCACCUGGGCCUCCCAAAGUGCUGGGAUUACAGGCGUGAGCCACAGUGGCCGGCCUGCUUUGUGCAUUUUAAAGCGCUUUAGUUAAAUGCAUAGACAUUUAGAAUUAUUGUAUCUACUUGGAAAACCAAAUAUCUUAUUAUGUAAUGUCUUUUUUGUUUUGUUUUGUUUUUUUUGAGACAGAGUCUCGCUCUGUCACCCAGGCUGGAGUGCAGUGGCAUGAUCUCGGCUCACUGCAACCUCUGCCUCCCAGGUUCAAGUGAUCCUCCUGCCUCAGCCUUCUAAGUAGCUGGGAUUACACGCCUGGCUAAUUUUUUUGUAUUUUUAGUAUUGAUGGGGGUUACACCAUGUUGGCCAGGCUGGUCUGGAACUCCUGACUUCGUGAUCUGCCCACCUCGGCCUCCUAAAGUGCUGGGAUUACAAGCUUAAGCCACCAAGCCCAGCCAAUGUCCCUCUUUAUCUCUGGUAAUUUUCUUUGCUCUGAAGUUUAGUUAACUGUUACUACAGCCAUUUUCAACUUUCUUUUGGUUAGUGUUCAUGGUACGUGUUUCUCCAUCUUUUUACUUUUAACCGACCUAUGUCAUACUUAAAAGUAUUUGUUUUCUUUUUUAAGACACUGUAUUUCUGGGUCUUUUAAAAAAAUUAUUUUGGCCGGGCUAGUGUCAAAAUCAUGGGCUCAAGUGAUCCUCACGCCUCAGCCUCCCAAAGUGCUGGAGUUAAGAAGUGAGUCUUUUUUUUUUUUCUUUUUUUUUUUUUUUUGAGACAGGGUCUCACUCUGUUACCCAGGCUGCAGUGCAGUGGCACAGUUACAGCUCACUGCAGCCUUAACUUCUCAGGCUCAAGCAAUCCUCCCAACUCAGCCUCCCAAGUAGCUGGAACUACAGAUGUAUACCACCAGCCUAUCCGUCUUUUAAUUGUAGUUAGGCCAUUUAAAUUUAAUAUAAUUGCCCAGGUGUGGUGACUCACACCUGUAAUCCCAGCACUUUGGGAGGCCAAGGCGGGAGGAUUGCCUGAGGUCAGGAGUUCGAGACUGUCCUGGCCAACAUGGUGAAACCCUGUCUCUACUAAAAAUACAAAAAUCAG